UUUUCUCACUUAAAUUUUUACAGUGCAUUUUUUUAAGUUACAUUGUAAUUUAUGAAACUUAUAUUGUAAUUUUGUAAGUUACAGUGUAAUUUUUAAAUCUUCGCAUGUAAGUUUUAAAAUUUAUAUUGGAUUUGGUUUUUUUCUUGAAGAUAUGAU
rnacentral:snRNA from 1 species